CAGUCGCCACGGUAAUACGAAGGGUGCGAGCGUUAAUCGGAAUUACUGGGCGUAAAGGGUGCGUAGGUGGUUAAAUAAGUUAUCUGUGAAAGCCCCGGGCUCAACCUGGGAAGGUCAGAUAAAACUGUUUGACUCGAGUAUAGGAGAGGGUAGUGGAAUUUCCGGUGUAGCGGUGAAAUGCGUAGAGAUCGGAAGGAACACCAGUGGCGAAGGCGGCUACCUGGCCUGAUACUGACACUGAAGCACGAAAGCGUGGGGAGCAAACAGGAUUAGAUACCCCCGUAGUCCCUGUCUCUUAUAC
rnacentral:rRNA from 1 species